ACAGCUUCCAUGGUGGUAUAGAGGUCCAUACGCUCAACAGGAACAAUACCAGCCAGUCUCCAACUACCCCAGUGGACAGGCCAGCGGGUCUGAGGCUUCUCCAGGAUUUUACCCCAUCAGUGCUGGCAGCAGUUUUCCUUCUGGGGCCCAACAGAGCAGUAAUCAGGGCAGCCAGCAUGGAGUUCCAGCUGACAGCAGCUCUCACCAGGUUGGAGAGGAGAGCUAUAGCUCCUCAUCUGAUCCUGGUGAGGAUGAGCCAGAGUUCACUCCUGUAAAUGACCAGGAUGUAGUGUACGCCAAGAAGUCCAGAUCCCGCUACAGCCGUAAGCAGUUCCGGGUCACUACCUUCCACUAUGAUCCAACCCAAUCAGUGGCUGUCCAUCCACCAGCGUUCCCCUUUCCAGGAGGAAAGGUUGGUCAUCCAGGCCAAGAUCCAAUGAAGCAUUCCUGAAGAUCUAUGGUUGAAGAGCUGCUGCUUGUAACUGGUUAAAUAAAUGGCUUUCAAUCCAA